rnacentral:sRNA from 1 species
CUAGUGCUUAGAAGGAAAAGGCAAUCAGUUUUAAUGGUGGAAAUGCCACUAUUUUGGACUUCCUGUGGGACUAUAUGACAGUCUCCAGCAGUGGCUUCCUAUGGGAUUUUCAAGAAUAACCUGGACGAUAGAAGAUUUUUGCCUCAUAUGUUGUUUAGAAUUUAUCCCCCAUGUAAGAUGAGAAUCUACUGAGAGAGAAACAUAAAUAAGUAUGUGCGGAAGCUUAUAAUCCUGAUGAAGAAGAAGAUGAUGCAGAGUCCAGGAUUAUACAUCCAAAAACUGAUGAUCAAAGAAAUAGGUUGCAAGAGGCUUGCAAAGACAUCCUGCUGUUUAAGAAUCUGGAUCCGGAGCAGAUGUCUCAAGUAUUAGAUGCCAUGUUUGAAAAACUGGUCAAAGAUGGGGAGCAUGUAAUUGAUCAAGGUGACGAUGGUGACAACUUUUAUGUAAUUGAUAGAGGCACAUUUGAUAUUUAUGUGAAAUGUGAUGGUGUUGGAAGAUGUGUUGGUAACUAUGAUAAUCGUGGGAGUUUCGGCGAACUGGCCUUAAUGUACAAUACACCCAGAGCAGCUACAAUCACUGCUACCUCUCCUGGUGCUCUGUGGGGUUUGG